rnacentral:tRNA from 1 species
GCCGGUUUAGCUCAGUUGGUAGAGUGCCUGCCUUGUAAGCAGGACGUCAGCGGUUCGAGUCCGUUAACCGGCACCA